GAGGUGGGAGGAUUGCUUGAGCCCAGGAGGUUGAGGCUUCAGUGAGUUGUGACCGCACCACUGCACUCCAGCCUGGGUGACAGAGCAAGACCUUGUCUCA
rnacentral:miRNA from 1 species